UGAGCCAUCUGGGAGGUGUCUGUGCC
rnacentral:piRNA from 1 species